AUGCGCCAUCUAGUGGCGAAAGCAUGUGGAACAAUUUAUAUUAAAAAGGUUCCACCCGGACUCAUUUUAAGUGCGCACCCCCUGCUAGGCGCGCGCACCUUGGCGCUGCCGCAGACACGAGGAGCUCUCGGAAAGAAAGGAAUAAUUUCAAGCCAAACAGUUAUUAGCCCCUCGUGGAUGCCAGCCCGCGAGGAGCCAGCACCUCCUGUCCACGCCUCCUCCAGGAAGUCCCUCCUCCAGGAAGCCGCUGCUGCACCUCCAGAUCUGGAAUCUGGUGUGAUGUGGGAAGUCUGUGCCUUCAACCAAAGUUCCCGCUGGAGCGUCCCGUUCCCCGGUUGGGGUGGAGCAGCAGCAGCUGGAGGCCAGGAGAGAUGUUCUCCAGAUGGUGUCGGGACGGGCUGCAGUGCAAUACGAGUCCAGACGCGUGUCACGCUGUCAUGCGGACCAACUCGCUUUAUUUUUGUAUCGCUGUUUUCCUGAUUUCUAUUUUUCUAAACGACUGAAACGGAGAAAAAAACAGGAGGUCAUCCGCCGGAUGGACGGUUUCCUCAGACCCGACCCGUUCCGUCCUGUGCCGACCAGCGCCAAAGCCAUAUCUGAACCAACCCUGUGCCACGUGACUGAAACGCCCCCCGGAGGGAGGCGUUCGGGUCCCCCGGACGCCGCGGCCUCGUCGUGUCUCCCCACCUUAGUGUUGCUCUAAAUAUUUUUUUACUUCCUCCAACAUAUCAGAUCUGCUCAGGAGGUGGGG
rnacentral:lncRNA from 1 species